UUAUUCCUACGGGGGGCAGCAGUGGGGAAUAUUGCACAAUGGGGGGAACCCUGAUGCAGCAAUGCCGCGUGAAGGAUGAAGGUUUUCGGAUUGUAAACUUCUUUUGUACGGGACGAAGAAAGUGACGGUACCGUAAGAAUAAGCCACGGCUAACUACGUGCCAGCAGCCGCGGUAAUACGUAGGUGGCAAGCGUUAUCCGGAUUUACUGGGUGUAAAGGGCGAGGAGGCGGGAUUGCAAGUCAGAUGUGAAAACUAUGGGCUGAACCGAUGGGGAGCAUUUGAAACUGCA
rnacentral:rRNA from 1 species